AUAGUCCCUGAGCUUCCAGUUGAAUUUGCUUUGGUAGCCUCCACUGUCAUUAUGGAAGGGUUGAAAGUGCAAAGAAUUUUGGUUUUCUAAUGAUCUUGCUUCGCCAUGGCAACCAAUAUGGAGGUGCUGGCUCAGCAGGUAAUGGAGACUCAGCAGGUGGCUGAGGAAAUGCACCGUGGUAACAUAGUGUGAUGGUUGUAUCUUGCCACUGGAGAGAUCUCUUCAUCCCAAGAAUUUAUGAAGCUCUGUGAUUUCUUCC
rnacentral:lncRNA from 1 species